rnacentral:lncRNA from 1 species
UGAGUCUCUGUCUCUGUCUCUGUCUGACAACGGCGGCGCGGCGGCCGGCGGCGUGCUCUGCUCUGAUUUCUCUAGCUCUCUCUCUCUCUGACGAUUACAGGGACUUCGGCUUCGACCCUCUUGGUCUGGCGACGGUGCCGGAGAACUUCGAGCGGUUCAAGGAGUCGGAGGUGUACCACUGCCGGUGGGCGAUGCUGGCGGUGCCGGGGAUCCUGGUGCCGGAGGCUCUAGGGCUAGGCAACUGGGUGAAGGCGCAGGAGUGGGCGGCCGUCCCCGGCGGCCAGGCGACGUACCUGGGGAACCCGGUGCCGUGGGGGUCGCUGCCGACGAUCCUGGUGAUCGAGUUCGUGGCCAUCGCGUUCGCGGAGCACCAGCGCACCAUGGAGAAAGACCCCGAGAAGAAGAAGUACCCCGGCGGCGCCUUCGACCCGCUGGGAUUCUCCAAGGACCCCGCCAAGUUCGAGGAGUACAAGCUCAAGGAGAUCAAGAACGGCCGCCUCGCCAUGCUCGCGUUCGUCGGCUUCUGCGUGCAGCAGUCGGCGUACCCCGGCACCGGCCCGCUGGAGAACCUCGCGACCCACCUCGCCGACCCGUGGCACAACAACAUCGGCGACAUCAUCAUCCCCAGAUCAAUCUCCCCUUGAGCUCAGAUCAGAUGCAUGUUUUGUACGUGUGUCAUUGC